CACGUAGGCUGUUUGGUAAGUCAGGGGUGAAAUCCCGCGGCUCAACCGCGGAAUUGCCCUUGAUACUGCUGGACUCGAGUCCGGGAGAGGGUGGCGGAAUUCCAGGUGUAGGAGUGAAAUCCGUAGAUAUCUGGAGGAACAUCAGUGGCGAAGGCGGCCACCUGGACCGGUACUGACGCUGAGGUGCGAAAGCGUGGGGAAGCAAACA
rnacentral:rRNA from 1 species